rnacentral:rRNA from 1 species
UACGUAGGGUGCAAGCGUUGUCCGGAAUUAUUGGGCGUAAAGAGCUCGUAGGCGGUCUGUCACGUCGACUGUGAAAUCCCGAGGCUCAACCUCGGGCCUGCAGUCGAUACGGGCAGACUAGAGUUCGGUAGGGGAGACUGGAAUUCCUGGUGUAGCGGUGAAAUGCGCAGAUAUCAGGAGGAACACCGAUGGCGAAGGCAGCUCGCUGGGACGGUACUGACGCUGAGGCGCGAAAGCGUGGGGAGCGAACAGG